rnacentral:lncRNA from 1 species
AACAAUCUAACGAGCUAACUAGGUUAUGCUAAUAAAUUUAGUGAAUUUAUAUUACAAGAAAAGAAUAAUCGUGAUCGAGUCAAAACUUACACUUAAUUGUGGCAUCCCUUGAGAAAAGAAUUAGAAAUUAAUAUUAUACGGAAAAUUCUAUAAUAUGUUAAUGUAUGUGAAUGAUGUGACGCAUCAACUUUGUAAAUUGAGUCCUCAAACUUGUAAUAUUAGUCCUCGAAGUUGUAAUGUGAGUCCUUAAAGUUGUAAAAUUUUCUAGUUACGACGUUAGUAAUCAUGUGUGCUUAAAGUACUAAC